rnacentral:rRNA from 1 species
AGGGUUCGAUUCUGGCUCAGGAUGAACGCUGGCGGCGUGCUUAACACAUGCAAGUCGAACGGAGUUAGAUGAAACCUAGUGAUUCUAAACUUAGUGGCGGACGGGUGAGUAACGCGUGGGUAACCUGCCAUAUACAGGGGGAUAACACUUAGAAAUAGGUGCUAAUACCGCAUAAGCGCACAGGACCGCAUGGUCUGGUGUGAAAAACUCCGGUGGUAUAUGAUGGACCCGCGUCUGAUUAGCUAGUUGGUGAGGUAACGGCCCACCAAGGCGACGAUCAGUAGCCGGCCUGAGAGGGUGAACGGCCACAUUGGGACUGAGACACGGCCCAAACUCCUACGGGAGGCAGCAGUGGGGAAUAUUGCACAAUGGGGGAAACCCUGAUGCGGCGACGCCGCGUGAGUGAAGAAGUAUUUCGGUAUGUAAAGCUCUAUCAGCAGGAAAGAAAAUGACGGUACCUGACUAAGAAGCCCCGGCUAACUACGUGCCAGCCGCUGC